CAUAGAAGGACUGUGGGGUGUGGAAUUUGUUCUCCAGCAGCGCAGCAUGGAGGGUCCGGGCAGCAUUGAUGCCCCCCAUGGCCAGGGUGAAGGAGCAGAUCAGCACUAGGAGGCCUGGCAGGAUACUAACCAAUUUGAGAGGAAAUUGAGGAAACUGAAGCCCAGAUGGAGAAGCAGAAUGUGACUGAUAUCUGAAAGAUGUUUUUUACCCCAGACACAGACUAGAAAAGCAAGGACCUCGUGUUUACCUAAGAAACUGUUUGCGGACCUCGUUUGUCACCGGCUCGUUAUCGGCCAGGACAAACCACAGAAAAUUUUGAAAGAAAUUCGUGAAAAGGUUUCUCAGUAAUACAGACCUGGCCACAGACAAUAAUUGUCAUGGUAGUACAGAAAGGCAAAUGCCAUGAAGAACCAGGAGACACUUUACAGAGAAAAUAUCUGUAAUCUUGUUGACAGAAGAAGAUAUGUUUUAAGAAAAAAAAUAAUACUGUACAUGUUGGUUCAUCCUCUUCAAUGUCUUCAUCCAGUGCAUAAUUCCGGAGGAAUUCUGCAAAGGCCUUGUUUUGUUUCAGAAGCUCUUGGUAGGAUCCCAUUUCAGAGAUUUUGCCAUCUACCAGGACAAUUAUAUGGUCUACCUGAGGUAGGAAGCUAAUGCCGUGGGUUACCAGGAUUCGGGUCUGGAUAGUGAAAAGGAAAAAAACCACAUAUCCUUCAUUUGCACUGUGGGGACUGACAGUACUCAGCAAGCCAAAUACAUUUUUGGGACAGGGAAUGAAUUAUUGUGUCAAGGUCAAAUGCCCAGUGAAAUAGCACUGUCCACAUUAGGCAAAUCAGUUUGGCAUGAUGUACAUGAACUCGCUUUGCUUCUACUGCUGACAAAAACAAAGAGGAAAGUAAACACACUGAAUUAUCAUUCCCUCCUUCCCUUAAGAUGAUUUUCUUUGCAGCCCCUCCCUUUUGACCUUCAAGAUGGUCUGAGAAGAUGGCAGCAGGAGUGGAAGGUGCAGCAAAGCCACUGCAGUUUGGGCUUUUGUUGCCAAAGUCCUGUGUAACAUCCAUAUUUGGUGCAGCUUCCUGGCUGCACUGCCUCCAAGAAACAACAAUUAUCACCACCAGCCUGUGCACGUCCCAGCACACGCCUUGUUUUUUGGAGAUCUCAUAGAGGAGGGAUUUUAAAACACAGGGUGGGUUUCUGCCUCUACAUGUUCUGACCAGACCACAGUGUUCCUGGAAAUGCGUGAGCAGCGUUUUGCCACAGCCUGGGCUGUGAGGAAAGGUACCCACAUUUCCAGCUACACACAGAAUUUCGGGAAUGAGCUGCAUGGUGAAACAGCUUCCGUGUUCCUGAGUUUGUCUGUGUUUUUAAGAGGAUCUAAGCCCCAGCUUACUUUUCCCUUCAGGAUCCCAUCUGGGCCAAUGACUUUGUCGAAGAUGUGCUUGGCCACGUGCGAGUCCACGGCAGACAGGGGAUCAUCCAGCAGGAAAAUAUCUGAGCUGCUGUACACGGCACGGGCCAGGCUCACACGCUGCCUCUGCCCCCCUGACAGGUUGAUGCCCUGGAUGGAGACAGGAGAGAACAAAACAUGCCACACAAAAGCUCUGACUUCUCAUGGUUCUCACCCAGCCCAGCACUCGGGUGCUAAAUUGAAACAUGAGAUGCUGAAGAGAAUAACCCACCCAGAGACAGGCACAGAAUGCCUCUAGAUUUGCCUGUUCACUGCCAAACUUUCCACUCAUCCAGCAAACUGGAGAUGCAGCAAGUCUCUUUUUAAUAAGCUCCUAAAGGGAGCUGUUAAAACACAAAACUAUAAAAAGCAAAACUGUCAACCAGGAUGUAAAAUGCAAAUUUCAAAGCAGGGCUGUGGCACCUGGAACAUCUUCCACAUAUUUCCUUUUACACACAAAUCCUCAUCUCCACACCAUUUCAUGAAAUCUAGCUCAAACUCAGUGGCCUAUGAAAAAAAUAUACCUUUGUUGGUAAACACAGAUGUAUAUGUUUCUCAUUAAAAUGUGUUAAGGGAUGAUCUUUUUCCUUUUUUUUUUUAAUUUGAAGCACAACCAUCUGCUCCUUCCCUUUUUAUCCCUACAGGAAAAGGAAGGCCUUCAGUGAUUCUGGACAGAUGCACCUUUACAAUUCAUGACAAAUAGAGGGCACUCUGAUUUUUCAGGGCUGGAUUUGUAAUUAUGCACCACAAUACACACAAAAGCCUUAAGUUAAGAAAACGUUCAAGUCAACUGCUUUCCAGACAACUGCCUUGCAUGUUUUGGUGUUGAUUCUAGCAGGGAUGACAUUGUGAAGAUCAACUCAAAUGAAGUGCUGAUUUUACAGUAUUCUCUCCUUAGCUAGAGCAGAAAUCACCAGGCAUGUCUGACUUGGAAAAAAAAAAAAUCUACCUAAAAAAAUUACCUUCUCUCCUAUCUCAGUUUGAUCUCCUCCUGGCAGCACUUCUAGAUCAGUUUUUAAAGCACAGGCCUCCAGGGUAUCUUGGUAUUUUUCCUCAUUAGGAGCUUGGCCAAACAAAAUGUUAUCUUUCAGCGUGGCAUUCUGGAUCCAGGCUUGUUGAGGCACAUAAGCAACAGAACCCUAGAAAAAGGAGAGAGAAAAUCUCUGACUCAUAACAAGCAGGAACUCAUGAUCUCAUCUGAAGAUGGCCUUUCCACUGCCACAGAGAUGAAUCUGCCACAAGCCUCUUCAAGGAACACUGCUGGCACACCUAGGUCCAAACACAGAUAUCUCAACUGUCCUCAAAAUCCACCAGAUCAAUCUGAUCUAUGUAAUGGUUCAGUUAAAAAAUGCCUAUUUAAGGAAUUUGUGGAGCCUGUCUUUCAAUAGGUAACUAUUUUAUGCUGGUUGCUGUGGAGUUAAAGCCUUACAACCCUGUUCUACAAAUAUUAAGGACCAUGAGGCACAAGUUCCAUGUUUUAAAGGCGAAGAGAUGCUGACAUGUGAUGCAUAGUUUUUACCAGACACCUUUCAAACAGGCCGCCCAAGAGCCAGAGACCAGAACAACCUGUGCUCCAGGCCCUCCUUACCUGUGCAAUGUUGCUAAUGACUUGUGGAAGCAUAUUGAGGGGAAACUUCAAGAUAUUGAACAAGGACAGGGAGACAAAAGCCUUUUCUGCAUCCAGGAUAUUCUUCUCAUCCACAGAGACAUACACAGCAAAUGUUGUCAGUGCUACCUGAAAACCAGAAAGGGAGUUUACUGCCAGAUGUCUGGUAUAUUCUGACAUUUUAAAAGCACUCAAUCCUGAUAGGCAUCUUGGAAAUAAAAGUACCAACCACAGAA